rnacentral:rRNA from 1 species
GACGACGCUGGCGGCGUGCCUAAUACAUGCAAGUCGAACGAGUGGCGGACGGGUGAGUAAUGUCUGGGAAACUGCCUGAUGGAGGGGGAUAACUACUGGAAACGGUAGCUAAUACCGCAUACUAUCAGAUGAGCCUAGGUCGGAUUAGCUAGUUGGUGGGGUAAAGGCCUACCAAGGCGACGAUCCGUAACUGGUCUGAGAGGAUGAUCAGUCACACUGGAACUGAGACACGGUCCAGACUCCUACGGGAGGCAGCAGUGGGGAAUAUUGCACAAUGGGCGCAAGCCUGAUGCAGCCAUGCCGCGUGUAUGAAGAAGGCCUUCGGGUUGUAAAGUACUUUCAGCGGGGAGGCGUUACCCGCAGAAGAAGCACCGGCUAACUCCGUGCCAGCAGCCGCGGUAAUAC